CCGGCACGGAGCAGCUCCUCCCUCCGCCGAGCGGCUCACCCCGCGGCGCUUACCUGCUGCGGAGCCGCGGGCAGCGCCGGGGCCGGGGGGCCGGUGUGGGCGGGCGCGGACCUGCCCUCGGCACACGGCCGGAGAGCCGCGCUCGGAGCUCGGUUCGUGACUUGAGGUUCUUGGGGCCUCCUUGUGGACAUUUCUGCUCCUCCUAACAAGCGGGGUAACAGGUAACGGAAAGAAAUUCUUAGUUGUUGAAGGAUCCAGUACCAAGCCGAGGAAAUUUUAUCCAAGUCAGCAGGAAUUUCUCCUGGAACUUACUGAACACACUCAGAACGUACCACACUGCUUGCCAGGCUGAGACCUUGCUCCAUUUGUGUCAACAUAGCUACAGCUGUGUCUCUAAUCUUCCACAGCACCUUGGAAGCAAAGGCAAAGGAAGAAGUCUCUGAUAACAACCUCCCAGCAAAGGAAAACACCUGUUACUGUGGGUGCAUACAGAUGGAACAGAUCACUGAUCCCUCCCCUCAAACUCCAACAACCUUUCGUCCUGAAGAGUUUUUGUGCUGCAGCCUUGCCAUCAGACAUUAGAUUGCCACUUUGUUCCAUCACAAUCUAGACCUGUAAGCUUAGCAGCAGUAAGAAAUGUGCAAGUUUGUCACUGGCUCUUCCAUUCGUGCUUCAGUGACAGCAGCUCAUGUCAAUGAACGCCACAACUAUGUUUCUUUAAAGCUUCAAAGCAAAGAGCCAUACAUACAGAAUUCUUAGGAAUGUGUUUUUGCAAAGACAUUGCUACUUGACCCUCCAAGGGAGGGAACAGCACAAUGAAGCUGUGAGGAUUCUAAAGGAAUUUUUACUGGCUUUGAAACACUGUUGGGAACUGAUCCUAAUGAUGUUAUAGAAACCUCAAACUGUUUUUAUCCCUCUGAGGGACUACACUUUUUGUACUAGUCAAUUAUAAAAAUAAAAUAUAUUUUCCGUAUAUGCAAAUUUCCUUCAGGCAUCCCUUUUUAUCAUACGAUACCCUUCCCCAAAUCCAAACAAUAAAAAAGAGGUAAAAAUGUGACUAGAUCUCAGAUUUAAUUCAUACUUUUAUUCACCAUCAAAUUCAGAAGUUAGAAAGGGAAGAUAUCUUUGAGAUCCUGUCUUGUCUCUAGGUACCCAUCUUACACUUCUGAAAAAAUCCAACACUUCACAUAAUCCCUAUGUAAGAUGUUAAACAUUUACUAUCUAUAAGGCAUUUAAUCAUCCUUGUGGAGUUCUAACCCUUUUACUGCCCAGCUUGAAGUUAGGUGCUCAUAUUUUACCUUUUUGUUAAAGAAGUUAAAUCAGUCAAUACCUCAUGAAAAUACCUUUCAAUGAAAAACAUUUUUAAAAUGUAUGCAAGACCCACACUUGUAAAACUGUGGUGGUCAAACUCUCUCUCUUUUGUUUUUUAAAUAUCAUUGAACAGAUCCAGAUCAGCUAUAUGCACCUCAGCUAGAGAAUGGAAUUGUUUUUUUACCAGUUUCUUAUGGAAUGGCUCUUCAAUUCUGAUCUGGGAUAAGUCUUCCUUAUGCAGCAAAUCAGAACAGAUUUGAAUGACACCUUCAAAUCUGUGGCUCAGCAUGCUGUGCUUGUUUAGGAGCUGUAGUAAAAGCAGAAGACAGUAUUUUUGCAGGUUUUUAACUCAGCUUUAGAAAAAGUACAAAGGUCUUUAAAAUGUAAUGUAGCAGUAGUACCAGGAAACCAAGAACACAAGACCGCAGUCGCAAGCGCAAGCAGCAGAAGCACAGAGGCCACAGCUCGGCUCAGACAGUGGGAAGAGGAGGAGCUGCAUUACAGAGCAGGCACCAGAGCCUCUCCAAACACCACUUGCAGAAAAAGCCUCAAGACAGACAAUGCCAAGACCAUGAACAGUCUUUACUUCUAUCAGUUGUUUCACAGCACAAUGAGACACAGCACAAAGUUUGUACAGCGGGAUCUGCAGACAGUCUAAAAACAGGCAAUUAUCUUUAAUAAAAAGCAUCGAGUCUGAAUGAAAAUAAAAUGAAGACAAACAAUACUGAAGCUGAUGAUCACCUUGCUUGCUUUUGAUUGUCUAAGAAGUCCAAGACUUCUCAUAGUGCCUUUAAUGUUCUCCACACCACCUUCUCCAGACACCCUAGUUAGUGUAAAGCUUACUGUGCCCCAACUCAUAUGUGUAGUAGGUUUCACAACCUUUUCCUCUUUCUCUCAAACCCUGCUCACAUGUGGGGAGGUGCAACAACUGUCAUCAUACAACAUUCUGAUUCACAAAGAAGCAGCACAAGUGUUGUACAUAAUUUAAUUUGCACUUCUGUAUAUAAAUGUUUACUAUUGCACACUAUUGCAGCACUUAAAAACAUCUAAUUAUUUGCAAAAAUUAGUAAAAUACUUUAAAGGAUUUAAAAAUAAGGGUUUUAAUGCAACUGACAAUAUAAUAAAAAAAGCAAUUUACUUAAUGAGAUACAAUCCUUUAUGUUGGAAAUGAAAGUUACAUACAACUAGAGUACAAUUAAAAUAUACCAUAUAGUUCAACACUUAAUUCCUCAAAUGUGUAAAAUUAACAAGCUUCUACUGUCAUAGAUAUACAAUUUUUCCAUAUUGUGAAAAGGAUUUUUCAAAUUAAAUACAGGUAACAUAAUAUUCUGUAGUUAUAUUUCAUGACUGUGUUUAAAUGAGAGGGUUGUAUAAUACUCACAUUGUCAAAUGUACUCACUAAUGCCUUGGAAAUUGCACACUUCCCCUCCUUUUCCAAAAUAGAAUCUCAUUUCCAUACUGAAGUCUAUUAUGCCAUAUUGGAAAAGUGUUUUACUUUCUAACAGGAUUUUCAUAAAAUUAAAAAAUAGCAUAAUAUCAUGGCAUGAUGAUGACUUAUGCCCGUGUAGAAUUUAAUCUGGGUAUCAGACAGACA